rnacentral:misc_RNA from 1 species
UUUCCGUAGGUGAUCCUGCGGAGGGAUCAUUACAGAGCAUCAUGCCCUUCGGGGUAGAUCUCCCACCCUAUGUAUUACAUACCUUUUGUUGCUUUGGCAGGCCGCUUCGGCCACCGGCUCCGGCUGGUGCGUGCCCGCCAGAGGACCCCAAACUCUGAAUGUUAGUGUCGUCUGAGUACUAUCUAAUAGUUAAAACUUUCAACAACGGAUCUCUUGGUUCUUGCAUCGAUGAAGAACGCAGC